AGGAAGACGAAAGUAGCAAUGAUGAGGAUGGUAAUGGGGAAAGUGACGAAUCUUCUGUGGCAGAAGGAGGAGAUAGCGUGGGUAACCAAAAUGGCAAUGCUAAUCAAGGAGAGAGCGAUCCUCAUCGCAGCUGUGGAAGUCAUGCCCAUUACGAUGUUCAAAACGAAUGCUGCGUCUGUAAUGAAGGCUGGGAAGGCGACCCAUCUACCGACUGUGAUAAAAAAGUGACAGGAGUUGACGGGAAUCAAAAUGUUGGUGAUAGUGAAGAAGAUAGCUUUUCUCGCUAUCGUUGAUAUCCAGAACGAAUGCACGUGAUCUUACAUCCAAUCCAGGAAGUACAUCUGAUAUCGACAAUAAUGCAGUGGAUAGAUCUAUGUAAUAUUUAAAUCAAUAAAUAUUUAACAUUUCUGGUUU